GAGUUUGAUCAUGGCUCAGGAUGAACGCUGGCGGCGUGCCUAAUACAUGCAAGUCGAGCGAACGGACGAGAAGCUUGCUUCUCUGAUGUUAGCGGCGGACGGGUGAGUAACACGUGGAUAACCUACCUAUAAGACUCGGGAUAAACUUCGGGAAACCGGAGCUAAUACCGGAUGAUAUUUUGAACCGCAUGGUUCAAAAGUGAAAGACGGUCUUGCUGUCACUUAUAGAUGGAUCCGCGCUGCAUUAGCUAGUUGGUAAGGUAACGGCUUACCAAGGCAACGAUGCAUAGCGACCUGAGAGGUGAUCGGCCACACUGGAACUGAGACACGGGUCCAGACUCCUACGGGAGGCAGCAGUAGGGAAUCUUCCGCAAUGGGCGAAAGCCUGACGGAGCAACGCCGCGUGAGUCGAUGAAGUCUUCGGAUCGUAAAACUCU
rnacentral:rRNA from 1 species